UACGUAGGGGGCAAGCGUUGUCCGGAAUCAUUGGGCGUAAAGCGCGUGUAGGCGGCUCGGUAAGUCCGCUCUGAAAGUCCGGGGCUCAACCCCGGGAGGCGGGUGGAUACUGUCGAGCUCGAGUCCGGAAGAGGCGAGUGGAAUUCCUGGUGUAGCGGUGAAAUGCGCAGAUAUCAGGAGGAACACCGGUGGCGAAGGCGGAUCUCUGGGCCUUACCUGACGCUCAGGUGCGAAAGCUAGGGGAGCGAACAGG
rnacentral:rRNA from 1 species